GACAGAGGGUGCAAACGUUGCUCGGAAUUACUGGGCGUAAAGCGCGUGUCGGCGGACCACCAAGUCGGACGUGAAAGCCCUGAGCUCAACUCAGGAACUGCAUCCGAAACUGGCGGUCUGGAGUAGUGGAGAGGAAAGCAGAAUUCCUGGUGUAGAGGUGAAAUUCGUAGAUAUCAGGAGGAACACCGGUGGCGAAGGCGGCUUUCUGGACACUUACUGACGCUGAGACGCGAAAGCGUGGGGAGCAAACAGG
rnacentral:rRNA from 1 species